GUAUUAAAGGCGACGCCUGCCCAGUGAGAAUUAAACGGCCGCGGUACCCUAACCGUGCAAAGGUAGCAUAAUCAUUUGUCUAUUAAUUGUAGACCUGUAUGAAAGGCAAAAUGAGAGCCCAACUGUCUCUUAUAACAAAUCAAUUAAACUGAUCUCCUAGUACAAAAGCUAGAAUACCAACAUAAGACCAGAAGACCCUGUGAAGCUUUAACUAACCUAUUAAACCCAAUAAUAACUACUUUCGGUUGGGGCGACCUUGGAACAAUAAAGAACUUCCAACCUAUGACUCCCUCAUAAAACUAGGCAAACGAGCCAAUACCAGACCCAGCAUAGCUGAUAAUUGAAACAAGUUACUCCAGGGAUAACAGCGCCAUCUUCUUUAAGAGCCCAUAUCAAAAAGAAGGUUUACGACCUCGAUGUUGGAUCAGGACACCCCAGUAAUGCAACCGUUACUAAAGGUUCGUUUGUUCAACGAUUAAUAGUCCUACGUGAUCUGAG
rnacentral:rRNA from 1 species